UUUCUCAAGAUGUUCUGAACAGCAGCAGCAUCAGAGGAAAAACAGGUUUCAAGGACAAAACAGAGAAGAAAGUGAACAGUUUUGCAAGACUGCAAUGGACUCAGGUUUUAUAAAGCAAUAAACCCUUCAUGCUUUUGACGGAGAGAAGACAGAUAAAGAGGAAAACAGAAAACAAAACCUGAGAUUCUGUAUGAAAUGAAGGGAGAAACAUUCUACUUUGUAAUGUA
rnacentral:lncRNA from 10 species